UGCUUUUGAUUGUUCAGGGAAAGCCCCACCAAGAGUACUGCUCCAGAUAGUUGUGCUCAGCUGAAUGUGAAUGGGAGUUUGAACCAAGUUAACUGUUCUUCUCUGGCUUUUUGGGUUUGUGAAAGAAGGGAAGCUUGCAGUAAAGGACACUAUGGUGCCUAUUGUCAAAAGAAAUGUCCCACCUGUCUCAAUCGUACCGUGUGCAAUAGACUCACAGGGCUGUGUGAUGGUAUAGUAACAUGUCAAGAAAGGAAGAAAUUAGAACUCUGUGAAUACCGCCUUACAAGCAAGUUCUGUUUUGCCUUUUGGAAGUACUGGAAUGGAAAUUGUUACUAUGUUCCUCCAUAUGGGGUGCUGAAUAAGAGUGAAGCAGAGUUCAUGUGCAGUCGGUUCCAAGGGGCACAACUGAUAAAAUUAAACAACACGGAAGAACAGAGAUGGAUAGCUACAGUCAUCACUAGAAAAAGCUGGCUUGGCAGCCUGAGCUAUAAACUCCAGUCAAACUCCUGGAUCAUGCCUGAUGGAGAUAGAGCAGCGCCUCGUUGGGGUUUCAAAGCAGUUCAAGAUUUGUGUGUGCAGAUUGAACCCAUAUCUGGAACCUUCAUUUCCUUUGCCUGCUCUGAACGGGCUUCGUGGAUCUGCAAGGGAGCCCCAGUUCCUGGAGCGCUGGAUUCCACAUAUAAGUGGUGGACAACAUUGACCUCGUCCCUUUUAGUUUCAAUUUUUGUAGUUGUCGUGAGUAUGUUUGUUACAUUUAAAGCGGCCCGGUGGAGAAGACAAGUGCUGGUAGAAAAGACUGAUGGGAAAGAGCAGAGAAAUAAAGUGGAGAUGGAGAACUUGGCUUCCUGGGACAAAAAGGCCCUCAAGUCUGAAAGGAGCAAACCCUUGAAUUAGGAUGUAGUGUUUGUGGACUCUGAAGGCAGUCUCAUCCCAUCCUCUGUGGAUUGAAGAUUUGGCUUUCAGGAAGAGGUUUGAAGUAGGGGAAACAGGAGAUAGAGCACUAUAACAGAUAGGGAAAUAUUUAACCUGAAAUUUGUUGAAUAUCUUGAUUUUUUUGGUGUUUAAAUCUUUCUCUGAGCUCCCACCCUCUCUAAUGACUCUAGUCUGUCAUAAGCAGGAUCUGUCAGAUGACACAGCACUACUUUCAGCAAAGCAGAACAUCCCUAGAACAUGACUAGUCAAAUACAUUUCCUUAAAUCACCUUGCAUUUCUUUCAG
ensembl:lncRNA